ensembl:lncRNA
GUGGAGAAAUCCGUCGCGCUCACUGGAAGAUCUAGAAGAUCUCAGAAGUUCACCGGAAGAUGUGUAAUGUUUGAUUAAAUGUUGCAAGAUCAAAGAAGCAUGUGGGCGUUUAUUGGCAGCAGUCUUGGUUUAUACAAGAUACCAGCACGUCUCUCAUGCUGAUUUCAGCAUGUUCCAAUACAACAAUGCAAAACAUCAAAACCACAAUCUGAGAGGUUUGUGUCAAAGUUCAGUGAUUGGCUGUGCUGCUCUGAACACAUCUGAGCUGGUUUGGCGGUCUAUUCUUCAUCCACACAUCUGGCCAAUGAACAAGCGUCCUGGACUGAAUGUGAGAACACCAGGCUGCUGCCUUUCCCAGCCUCCCGGCCCUGGAGAGCAGCGUGGACACUCCUAAUGUGGGAAUAUCCAGGAGGGGACAGGGGAGACAAUCCAAGCCAGCCGGGAAAAAAGAUAAACCAUGACUUCAGUGUAUAUAAAGCGUAUUUCUACCUGUUACCUCUUUUUCACCCAAUCACCCAUUUUGUUUAGGUCAUGCAAUGACCUUUCUUUUCCACUUGUAGCCUCAGUGCUUGUAAUUGUGUAUAAUUAUCUAUUAAUACUCAGCAAAUGUGUUCCAGUUUUUGGUACGGUUGUGAUAACGCAGUCUGCAGGAGCCACGUUUAAUAGAUAAAACACACAGCAGCCUGUUUAGUCUCCGACAGCGGGAAUCAAACCUCCAACAAUCUCUCUGUCAGGCACAGAGCAGGGCCACCCAUGACAAAACUACACACAAAACAGCCAGCAGACAACAGCAGAAAAAUAUCAGUCUAGACAUUACUGGAGUCCAGAGAGCAUAAAGCUCGAGUUCCAUUGAUAGCCUUUAGCAAGGGAUAAAAUCACACACACACACACACACACACACGCACACACACACACACGUACACACACACACACACAC